rnacentral:lncRNA from 1 species
AAUGAAAUGUGGGAAGAAGUGGAAAAGGGGCCUUAAAUAGGAAAGGAAGGCAGCUUAGAUGUGCAUCACGUGGUAGACAUCUAAGUGGGACACUUGGUGGUUAGGUGGCUGCCACAGUAGGGAGGACAUGUCCGUGCGGUACGCGGGCCAUACGCGGUAAGGCGCGCCUGCACUCUGCUAGCGCACACAGAGGGCACACAGUAGAUGUGCAGUGCUGCAUGUAGGCAUUGGCAUGCUGGCACACACACACACACAUAGUGUCAUUCAUAGGCACCUAACACAAGCCACCUACGCAAUGUGACCGCACAGGGGCGUGCUCACAAGUGCGUGCACAGCACCUUCACGAGCGCGCGUGGGAGCACGUGGACACGUGGACGUGCAAGCUGUCAGCUCUUAGGCUGCUUUCCUGGGGCCUUGGGGGUUUAUCUCUGUCUUUUCAUUUUCCAAUUUUUCUUGAAAAUUCCAUAAAUAUAAUUUGAAAAUAAUUGAAAUAAAUAAGAACUAUUAAAAUAACGAUAGUUAAUGUAAAGCAAAAACACUGAUAAUUUUAAAUGCAAACUGAAUUUUAAAUGGCCAUGAGAACCAAAAUAAUAGAGUUUGGCACAUGGUUAAACGAAAAGGUUUUGGCGUGUUACAUGGGUUGUUCAUGAGCUGUUCGAUCAGUUUGGACAGAAGGCAGAUCUGACUAUCCGUUCGAAUUUCUAACGAGAAUCAAUAUGAGCCAUUGAUCACAUUUGAGAAAGAAUCCAUCGUGACCAUCAGAUCAUGCCUUGGGCGGAAAUGGAUCUCAUCCGUUCAAUCGACCAUACGUGAUGGAAUCAGAGAUGUCCAUUCAAAUUUCAGGUGGGAACAAAUCUUGACUGCGGGAUCGGGCAAGGCAAAAAACAACUUGAACCAUCUGAUCGUCCCCUCACGUGAUUGCCAUACCAACAACUCCCUCCACAUGCACGCGUCAUGUGUCAAGCAUGCUGGUGUGUCUACAUGUGUCUAAUGCCCACUAUAGCUACAAAUAGGUCACAUGCUGACGUGGCCCACUUUUGAGAAAUUGCAGAGAGCAGCUCCCUAAAAAUUCUUGCAUUUAGGUACCUAAGCCCCUUUUCAUGUCCAAAAGGCCCCCAAACAUACUGAUUUCCCUCGUUUAAGCUCCUAAAUAUUUAUUUUAUAUUUUUAAGGGUUUUAAAUUCAUUUUUAAUUUUUUUUCGGUUUAUUUCUCGCUAUUUUCUUGAAAUAAAGCCCAUUAAUUAAGC